GACAGAGGGGGCAAGCGUUGCUCGGAAUCACUGGGCGUAAAGGGCGCGUAGGCGGGAUGGCAAGUCGGUCGUGAAAUCCUUCGGCUCAACCGAAGAACGUCGGCCGAUACUGCCGUUCUUGAGGGAUGCAGAGGCGAUUGGAAUUCCCGGUGUAGCGGUGAAAUGUGUAGAGGUCGGGAGGAACACCGGUGGCGAAGGCGGGUCUCUGGGCAUCUCCUGACGCUGAGGCGCGAAAGCGUGGGGAGCAAACGGG
rnacentral:rRNA from 1 species